UGGACCACCAUGGACAUCACUGAUUCAUGAUGGGGAUUCUCCUGACCUACUGCCUGCUAGGAUGAUCUUGCUCUGGCUUACUUGCUUUAAACUGGCUCACAGUUGGCAUUCAUUAAGGUGGAAAGCAAACCGCUUAAUACUGCCAUUUUACCAAGGCCCAGAAAUUUGUGGAAUCUUGUACAAGGUCUAAUUCAAGAAUUCAUUUUCUACAAGAAGUCUUCCUAACUAUUCAGCACUUGAUCAUUGCUUAGCUCUCCUGGCUCUUCAACUGCCUUGCCAGCUGGUGGGCACCAAAUACUUAGUCUUCACUGCCAUGUGAACAUCACACCUCCCUAAACAGAAGGGAAGUUCUUUCGUGUCAGUAUCUCUGAAUCCUGGCCCAUGGCAGGCAAUAUUUCAGAUGAUGGUGGUGGUGCAAUUAUAGAAAUUAUUCCCUCAAUUCACAUUACAAAUGAAAAUGUAAAGAUUCAGGAAGACCUAAGUGUACUGAAGAUAAAUUUGUCACCCAUUAUUAAUGGAAGCUUUGGCUUUAUCUACAAAUGUGAAGGAAGCUCCCUGAGAUAAGGGAUUCUGAUGCAGUAUGCAACAUGAACACCAACCCAUCAAGGCCCUAGACAAAAGAAUCCUAUGGAUAAAGAACAAGAAAAAGUUUUGCUUUUUUGAAGGAGCUAUUAUGCGUUGUCAGGGAAAUUCUGGAAGGCUUUGUGAAAGCACUGGAGCCAGGUGGUGGCAGAGAAGAGGGUACAGGAUGGAAGAGGCUUAGGUGGGAGCAAAGGCAUGGGACCUAUCAGGGAACAGUGAGUAGUUUGGCUACUUUCAUAGUUGUCUUAUAAAG